GAACUUUUGUAUAGCCAGCAAGGUUACUGACACUUGCUCAGGGCUACUCCUGGAGUGCUGGAAACCUUAUCUUUCUUUAUCUCCAGAAUAAAGGAUUUAUUCACACCUGGGAUACCAGCAAGGGAGGAGACAGUGGAGGACGACGCUUCAGGAGCCCUCGCCAUCAGGAAGGUGAUUCCCAGUUUGGCCCCGUAGUCUCAGCGACAGGACAGCCAGGGACGGCGUCAAGCUGUCAGAACUGCCCGGACGGCCUUCACGGGGUGUCCGCGGAGAAUGGCCAAGGUCACUGCCAAGUCACGCUAAGUGGACUGGCCUGACGACCGGCUCGCUGUGGACACGGGGGAAGUGAUCCCGUC
ensembl:lncRNA